UUACAGCCAUAUCACUUUGAAACACUGGCUCUUGUACGAUCACUGAAGUUAUUCAAUGCCAAGUCUGGUCAGUACUUGGAUGGGUGACUGCUUGGGAAUACCAGGUUCUGUAA